GAUAAUUUUUUUAUUAGUUAACUGAAUAUUAUAUGAAAGCACUUGUUCAUGAGACGUCAAGAGAGUAGAUUCUUUCCUUAUCUUUUAACCAUGAUCCCAACCUAAUUGAUAUGGUGACUCCAUAGUUUCUAAUUAGUAAUUGCAUAUUAUAUGAAAACGCUAGUUCAUAUAGACUUUAAAGAGAGUGCAUUAUGAUUGACCUUUCCAUUACCUCAAAAGUUUCUAUUUCAAGGUAUUGUGUCUAAUAUCCAGAUUUCCUCAGGGGAUGUGGCUUCAUUUCCCUUGAAAAUCUAUUGUUUUUCACAAGGAAAUAUCCGGUAUGCAUUUUUGUCUUCUAUUCUGCACAUCUGAAAGAACUUGAUGAGCCUUAAAAGUUGUAAUUGGCAGGUGGUAUGAUACAUGCAGGAGCCAUGCUCAUGUGGGAUCUGCAUAUAUAUGUGAUGGUUGGUACUUGGUGAUAUAGAUACUGCAUUGGACUAUGAAGAAGGGAAGGGAUAUUCUUCAAAUAAACCAUCCCGUCGGCCCUUUUGGCACAAAGCCAUAUAAUUGCAAAAAAAACCCAAGGCUUUACCUCCUCCUUAUCACAAACCAUAUUAUAGUGGAGAAUUGAAGCAAAAGGUGUGAUGGUGCAUGCUUACCACUGUUAUUGUCUUCAACCUCCACACAAGAGUGUUUGUAAUGGGCCUUAUUUGUGCACAAAACACGUAAGAUGUCACAGAUGUGGAUCCAAUGUCCCUGGAAAUGGACUAAGUGUGAGGUAUGAAUUCUGAAUAAUUUAGCUUUGGUUUGAUGUCUGGUGUUGGUGUGCCUAGUGUUGAUGCCCAUAGGAAUGUUGCAAGAGGAAUGCUUAGUUAGUUUUAUGGUCAAAACAUAUACCCCUGGUAGAAACCAAGCAAAAAUGUUUCGCUGGAUUUGUAUCAAUUAUUACCUUUAUUUUAUAUGUUAUAGUUGUAUAUCAUCAACAUUUGCCAUGAAAUUGCA